AGACCUAUACGCACCGCAAGGUGUUCAGGGAACUGGUACUAACCGGCCGAAAACUUACA
rnacentral:rRNA from 1 species